rnacentral:rRNA from 1 species
GAUGAACGCUGGCGGCGUGCCUAAUACAUGCAAGUCGAGCGAACGGACGAGAAGCUUGCUUCUCUGAUGUUAGCGGCGGACGGGUGAGUAACACGUGGAUAACCUACCUAUAAGACUGGGAUAACUUCGGGAAACCGGAGCUAAUACCGGAUAAUAUUUUGAACCGCAUGGUUCAAAAGUGAAAGACGGUCUUGCUGUCACUUACAGAUGGAUCCGCGCUGCAUUAGCUAGUUGGUAAGGUAACGGCUUACCAAGGCAACGAUGCAUAGCCGACCUGAGAGGGUGAUCGGCCACACUGGAACUGAGACACGGUCCAGACUCCUACGGGAGGCAGCAGUAGGGAAUCUUCCGCAAUGGGCGAAAGCCUGACGGAGCAACGCCGCGUGAGUGAUGAAGGUCUUCGGAUCGUAAAACUCUGUUAUUAGGGAAGAACAUAUGUGUAAGUAACUGUGCACAUCUUGACGGUACCUAAUCAGAAAGCCACGGCUAACUACGUGCCAGCAGCCGCGGUAAUACGUAGGUGGCAAGCGUUAUCCGGAAUUAUUGGGCGUAAAGCGCGCGUAGGCGGUUUUUUAAGUCUGAUGUGAAAGCCCACGGCUCAACCGUGGAGGGUCAUUGGAAACUGGAAAACUUGAGUGCAGAAGAGGAAAGUGGAAUUCCAUGUGUAGCGGUGAAAUGCGCAGAGAUAUGGAGGAACACCAGUGGCGAAGGCGACUUUCUGGUCUGUAACUGACGCUGAUGUGCGAAAGCGUGGGGAUCAAACAGGAUUAGAUACCCUGGUAGUCCACGCCGUAAACGAUGAGUGCUAAGUGUUAGGGGGUUUCCGCCCCUUAGUGCUGCAGCUAACGCAUUAAGCACUCCGCCUGGGGAGUACGACCGCAAGGUUGAAACUCAAAGGAAUUGACGGGGACCCGCACAAGCGGUGGAGCAUGUGGUUUAAUUCGAAGCAACGCGAAGAACCUUACCAAAUCUUGACAUCCUUUGACAACUCUAGAGAUAGAGCCUUCCCCUUCGGGGGACAAAGUGACAGGUGGUGCAUGGUUGUCGUCAGCUCGUGUCGUGAGAUGUUGGGUUAAGUCCCGCAACGAGCGCAACCCUUAAGCUUAGUUGCCAUCAUUAAGUUGGGCACUCUAAGUUGACUGCCGGUGACAAACCGGAGGAAGGUGGGGAUGACGUCAAAUCAUCAUGCCCCUUAUGAUUUGGGCUACACACGUGCUACAAUGGACAAUACAAAGGGCAGCGAAACCGCGAGGUCAAGCAAAUCCCAUAAAGUUGUUCUCAGUUCGGAUUGUAGUCUGCAACUCGACUACAUGAAGCUGGAAUCGCUAGUAAUCGUAGAUCAGCAUGCUACGGUGAAUACGUUCCGGGGUCU